CAUAGGUUAAUGAGGCGAACCGGGGGAACUGAAACAUCUAAGUACCCCGAGGAAAAGAAAUCAACCGAGAUUCCCCCAGUAGCGGCGAGCGAACGGGGAGGAGCCCAGAGCCUGAAUCAGUGUGUGUGUUAGUGGAAGCGUCUGGAAAGGCGCGCGAUACAGGGUGACAGCCCCGUACACAAAAAUGCACAUGCUGUGAGCUCGAUGAGUAGGGCGGGACACGUGGUAUCCUGUCUGAAUAUGGGGGGACCAUCCUCCAAGGCUAAAUACUCCUGACUGACCGAUAGUGAACCAGUACCGUGAGGGAAAGGCGAAAAGAACCCCGGCGAGGGGAGUGAAAAAGAACCUGAAACCGUGUACGUACAAGCAGUGGGAGCACGCUUAGGCGUGUGACUGCGUACCUUUUGUAUAAUGGGUCAGCGACUUAUAUUCUGUAGCAAGGUUAACCGAAUAGGGGAGCCGAAGGGAAACCGAGUCUUAACUGGGCGUUAAGUUGCAGGGUAUAGACCCGAAACCCGGUGAUCUAGCCAUGGGCAGGUUGAAGGUUGGGUAACACUAACUGGAGGACCGAACCGACUAAUGUUGAAAAAUUAGCGGAUGACUUGUGGCUGGGGGUGAAAGGCCAAUCAAACCGGGAGAUAGCUGGUUCUCCCCGAAAGCUAUUUAGGUAGCGCCUCGUGAAUUCAUCUCCGGGGGUAGAGCACUGUUUCGGCAAGGGGGUCAUCCCGACUUACCAACCCGAUGCAAACUGCGAAUACCGGAGAAUGUUAUCACGGGAGACACACGGCGGGUGCUAACGUCCGUCGUGAAGAGGGAAACAACCCAGACCGCCAGCUAAGGUCCCAAAGUCAUGGUUAAGUGGGAAACGAUGUGGGAAGGCCCAGACAGCCAGGAUGUUGGCUUAGAAGCAGCCAUCAUUUAAAGAAAGCGUAAUAGCUCACUGGUCGAGUCGGCCUGCGCGGAAGAUGUAACGGGGCUAAACCAUG
rnacentral:rRNA from 2 species